GGUGAUGAAACUCAGUUGGUAGAGAACUUGUCUAGCACUCAUGAGGCCUUGGGUUCUAUUCCCAACACCCCCC
rnacentral:tRNA from 1 species